ACGGGUGAGUAAUACAUCGGAACGUGCCCUGUAGUGGGGGAUAACUAGUCGAAAGAUUAGCUAAUACCGCAUACGACCUGAGGGUGAAAGUGGGGGACCGCAAGGCCUCAUGCUAUAGGAGCGGCCGAUGUCUGAUUAGCUAGUUGGUGGGGUAAAGGCCCACCAAGGCGACGAUCAGUAGCUGGUCUGAGAGGACGAUCAGCCACACUGGGACUGAGACACGGCCCAGACUCCUACGGGAGGCAGCAGUGGGGAAUUUUGGACAAUGGGCGAAAGCCUGAUCCAGCAAUGCCGCGUGUGUGAAGAAGGCCUUCGGGUUGUAAAGCACUUUUGUCCGGAAAGAAAUGGCUCUGGUUAAUACCUGGGGUCGAUGACGGUACCGGAAGAAUAAGGACCGGCUAACUACGUGCCAGCAGCCGCGGUAAUACGUAGGGUCCAAGCGUUAAUCGGAAUUACUGGGCGUAAAGCGUGCGCAGGCGGUUGUGCAAGACCGAUGUGAAAUCCCCGAGCUUAACUUGGGAAUUGCAUUGGUGACUGCACGGCUAGAGUGUGUCAGAGGGGGGUAGAAUUCCACGUGUAGC
rnacentral:rRNA from 1 species